UUUUAUGGCAGGCCAUGCGGGCAACCUUCGGGUUGGCCGGUUUCCUUGUGUCCCGGUAUUGCUUCCCCGCAUAGCCUGCCUCCCUU
rnacentral:antisense_RNA from 1 species